rnacentral:rRNA from 1 species
AACGCGAAGAACCUUACCUGGACUUGACAUCUCCUGAAUUACUCUUAAUCUCAGGAAGUCAUUUCGGUGACAAGAAGACAGGUGGUGCAUGGUUGUCGUCAGCUCGAGUCGUGAGAUGUUGGGUUAAGUCCCGCGACGAGCGCAACCCCUAUUGUUAGUUGCUACCAUUUAGUUGAGCACUCUAGCGAGACUGCCCGGGUUAACCGGGAGGAAGGUGGGGAUGACGUCAAAUCAUCAUGCCCCUUAUGUCUAGGGCUACACACGUGCUACAAUGGCUGGUACAAAGAGAUGCGAUACCGUGAGGCGGAGCCAAACUUUAAAACCAGUCUCAGUUCGGAUUGUAGGCUGAAACUCGCCUACAUGAAGCUGGAGUUGCUAGUAAUCGCGAAUCAUAAUGUCGCGGUGAAUACGUUCCCGGGCCUUGUACACACCGCCCGU